rnacentral:rRNA from 1 species
AGAGUUUGAUCCUGGCUCAGAUUGAACGCUGGCGGCAUGCUUUACACAUGCAAGUCGGACGGCAGCACAGAGAAGCUUGCUUCUUGGGUGGCGAGUGGCGAACGGGUGAGUAACAUAUCGGAACGUACCGAGCAGUGGGGGAUAACUAAUCGAAAGAUUAGCUAAUACCGCAUAUAUUCUGAGGAAGAAAGCAGGGGACCAUUUGGCCUUGCGCUGUUUGAGCGGCUGAUAUCUGAUUAGCUAGUUGGUGGGGUAAAGGCCUACCAAGGCGACGAUCAGUAGCGGGUCUGAGAGGAUGAUCCGCCACACUGGGACUGAGACACGGCCCAGACUCCUACGGGAGGCAGCAGUGGGGAAUUUUGGACAAUGGGCGCAAGCCUGAUCCAGCCAUGCCGCGUGUCUGAAGAAGGCCUUCGGGUUGUAAAGGACUUUUGUCAGGGAAGAAAAGGGCGGGGUUAAUACCCCUGUCUGAUGACGGUACCUGAAGAAUAAGCACCGGCUAACUACGUGCCAGCAGCCGCGGUAAUACGUAGGGUGCGAGCGUUAAUCGGAAUUACUGGGCGUAAAGCGGGCGCAGACGGUUACUUAAGCAGGAUGUGAAAUCCCCGGGCUCAACCUGGGAACUGCGUUCUGAACUGGGUGACUAGAGUGUGUCAGAGGGAGGUAGAAUUCCACGUGUAGCAGUGAAAUGCGUAGAGAUGUGGAGGAAUACCGAUGGCGAAGGCAGCCUCCUGGGAUAACACUGACGUUCAUGCCCGAAAGCGUGGGUAGCAAACAGGAUUAGAUACCCUGGUAGUCCACGCCCUAAACGAUGUCGAUUAGCUGUUGGGCAGCAUGACUGCUUAGUAGCGAAGCUAACGCGUGAAAUCGACCGCCUGGGGAGUACGGUCGCAAGAUUAAAACUCAAAGGAAUUGACGGGGACC